AGUGAACGCUGGCGGUAGGCCUAACACAUGCAAGUCGAACGGCAGCACAGUAAGAGCUUGCUCUUACGGGUGGCGAGUGGCGGACGGGUGAGGAAUACAUCGGAAUCUACUUUUUCGUGGGGGAUAACGUAGGGAAACUUACGCUAAUACCGCAUACGAUAUAGGGGUGAAAGAAGGGGAUAUUAGGAGUUGGGGGGAUGGAAGGGGACGAUGUCGGAUUAGCUAGUUGGCGGGGUAAAGGCCAACCAAGGCGACGAUCCGUAGCUGGUCUGAGAGGAUGAUCAGCCACACUGGAACUGAGACACGGUCCAGACUCCUACGGGAGGCAGCAUGGUGUAAUAUUAAAACAUGCUCUCAAUCCUAAUCCACCACUACCACGUUGGUAAAUAAGGCCUUCGGGUGGUAAAGCCAUUUUGUUGGGAAAAAAAAGCAACACCUUAAUACCCCUCUUUUCUAACUAUACCCAAAAAAUAAACACCGCCUAACUUCGU
rnacentral:rRNA from 1 species